rnacentral:rRNA from 1 species
AUGAACGCUGGCGGCGUGCCUAAUACAUGCAAGCCGAGCGAACGGACGAGAAGCUUGCUUCUCUGAUGUUAGCGGCGGACGGGUGAGUAACACGUGGAUAACCUACCUAUAAGACUGGGAUAACUUCGGGAAACGGAGCCAAUAACGGAUAAUAUUUUUAACCGCAUGGUUUCAAAGUGAAAGACGGUCUUUCCUGUAAUUAUAGAUUGAUCCGCGCUGCAUUUGCUAGUUGGUAAGGUUACGGCUUACCAAAGGAAAGAUGCAUAGCCGACCUUAGGGGGUGAUCGGCCACAAUGGAACUGAGACACGGUCCAGACUCCUACGGGAGGGAGCAGUAGGGAAUCUUCCGCAAUGGGCGAAAGCCUGACGGAGCAACGCCGCGUGAGUGAUGAAGGUCUUCGGAUCGUAAAACUCUGUUAUUAGGGAAGAACAUAUGUGUAAGUAACUGUGCACAUCGUGACGGUACCUAAUCAGAAAGCCACGGCUAACUACGUG